rnacentral:lncRNA from 1 species
GCCAGGAGAUCAAGAGAAGAAGGGGAAACCCUUUUUACUUCUAAAAUUCAGCAAUUGAAGGAAGAAAUUGAAGCUAAUCACCUGCAUGUUCACCCCAACCUAACCAUCUUAGCAUUCUUAACAUAAGGUAUGUUGAAAUUUGCAAUUUGAUGAUCAUGAAUGAAAUGGGGAUUAAAGAAGAAAGCUCAAGUCAUUCCGGAACGCAAACAAACCACAACAAAGGUAAAGGAACUUGUUAGCGGCGCUACUUGGAUCGAACACACUCAUGAUGCACGCUUCCGCGAAGAUCCUAGUUUGGUUUAAAUUUUUGGGUUAAACAUUUUUGUUAAAACGGGUCUUUUGUAUGUAAGUUAACCCGGUAGCGGUUAGAUGUUAACUUGUAGUUAAAGACGGGGUUAAUAACUUGUAAAACAUGUGUGGUAUGAACUCUUUUAUAACUAUUUUACUUAGUUAAAAUGAAGUUGAAUGCAGAAUUUUGCUUAUAAAAU